rnacentral:rRNA from 1 species
UACGAAGGGGGCUAGCGUUGUUCGGAAUCACUGGGCGUAAAGCGCACGUAGGCGGAUUCUUAAGUCAGGGGUGAAAUCCCGAGGCUCAACCUCGGAACUGCCUUUGAUACUGGGGAUCUCGAGUUCGGGAGAGGUGAGUGGAAUUGCGAGUGUAGAGGUGAAAUUCGUAGAUAUUCGCAAGAACACCAGUGGCGAAGGCGGACUCACUGGCCCGAUACUGACGCUGAGGUGCGAAAGCGUGGGGAGCAAAGCAGGGAUUA